AAUGAACGUUGGCGGCAUGGAUUAGGCAUGCAAGUCGUGCGAGAAGGAUUUGGUGCUUGCACUAGAUCUGGAAAGCGGCGAAAGGGAGAGUAACGCGUGGUUUAUCUGCCCUGGGGUCCGGAAUAGCUGUGGGAAACCGCAGGUAAUGCCGGAUAACAUCUACGGAUCAAAGGUGUGAUUCCGCCCUAGGAGGGGACCGCGUCCUAUUAGCUUGUUGGUGGGGUAACGGCCUACCAAGGCAACGAUGGGUACCGGGCGUGAGAGCGUGACCCGGCUCACUGGGACUGAGACACUGCCCAGACACCUACGGGUGGCUGCAGUCGAGAAUCUUCGGCAAUGGACGCAAGUCUGACCGAGCGAUGCCGCGUGCGGGAUGAAGGCCUUCGGGUUGUAAACCGCUGUCAGUUGGGAGGAAGUGCCAUGGGGCUAUCCCCAUGGUUUGACCUAUCUUCAGAGGAAGGACGGGCUAAGUUCGUG
rnacentral:rRNA from 1 species